rnacentral:rRNA from 1 species
GACAGAGGGUGCAAACGUUGUUCGGAAUUACUGGGCGUAAAGCGCGUGUAGGCGGCCAUGCAAGUCGGAUGUGAAAGCCCUCGGCUCAACCGGGGAAGUGCACUCGAAACUGCAAGGCUAGAGUCUCGGAGAGGAUCGUGGAAUUCUCGGUGUAGCGGUGAAAUGCGCAGAUAUCAGGAGGAACACCCGUGGCGAAAGCGGCUCUCUGGGACGGUACUGACGCUGAGACGCGAAAGCGUGGGGAGCAAACAGG